rnacentral:rRNA from 1 species
AUGGCCAUGGCGUCCGCCGACGAAAAUGGGGCCGGCAACCACAACAAAAACACAGACUCCCCCAAGGCUUCGACGGAGUUCCAGCUGAAGAAGUACCUACUGCUGCUUGCCACCCUGGUGGCGACGGUGACCUACGUGGCGGGGCUCAACCUGCCGGGGGGUUCCUGGACGGAGGACACUCCCGGCGGGCAGGUGGCCGGCGAGUCAAUCCUCCGGGAGACCUACUACUACCGCUACAUCGUCUUCUACUACUGCAACGCCGUCUCCUUUGCGGCGUCCCUCGUCGUCAGCCUCCUCCUCCUCGUGCUGCAUAAGGGCGGCUCCUACCACUACUGGCUCCGGCCGGUCAUGGUGAUUGACCUGUUCGGCCUUAUGGGGGCCUACGCCGCCGGGAGCAGCCGCGACAAGUUCACCACCGUCUGCGCCGCAGUGAUGGUGGCUGGCCUCGCUGCUUAUGUCACUGUCGCCUUCAUCUGGUACGUCCUCCGCCACGCGACAGGAGGCACGGCCGCCAACAAAAAAGAAGAGAGUCCAGAUCAAGAGGCGGCGGCACUCGCGGAGCACGAGAUCCUGAUGGUGCUCGCCAUCUUCGUGGCAACCGUCGCGUACGUGGCCGCGAUGAACCCGCCCGGAGGCUUCUGGCGAAGCACCCAGGAGGGCCACCACACUGGCGGUGACCCGAUUCUGCAGGGCGGCCACUCCGGCCGCUACAAGUCCUUCUUCUUCUUCAACACCACCGCCUUCGUGGCGUCCCUGCUCGCCAUCAUGCUCAUCCUCGACUAUAAGAAACUCAACAUCAGCAGUGACAGAUUUGGCGUAGGGCGUUGCGGGCUCUAUGUAUCCCUCAUCAUCGCGAUCGGCGGCCUCGGCGGCGCCUACGCUGCCGGGAGCUGCAGGAACCUUGAGAGCACUGCCAUUGUUCUGUCCCUAGGGCCAGUUGUUCUAAUCUACAUUGCUCUCCAGGUGGGCGUUUCUACAGACAAACUCCCGUGUAUUGGUCGCAUGUGCAGUUAUCCAAGAAAAUGGCUGCCGGUAAUAACAAGAUUCGUCACUGAUUCCACUUGCACUUCCAGACCACCACCACCACUGACCGACGAAAAAGAAAAGGACAAGAUUCCGAAGAGAGAACAUGAUGAAAAUGAAAAACUCAACAAGGCCCGCGAGUUUAUUCAGCUGCUUGCUAUACUUGCGGCGACCAUCACUUAUCAAGCUGGACUUGAUCCACCAGGAGGCCUCUGGCUGGAGAGUGGGGAAGGCCAUACUGUUGGAGACUCAAUACUCCUCACAACACACCCAAUACGGUACAAGGCCUUCUUCUAUUCUAAUUCGGUGGCCUUCGUGGCGUCCUUGGUCAUCAUCGUCAUGCUGCAGAGCGAGAUGCUAGUUAGGCUCCACAUACUGGAGGCUACUAUGAUACUAGACCUGUUCAGCCUCAUGGGUGCAUACGCCGCGGGGAGCAGCCGGGACACGAGCACCUCCAUCUACAUUGUGGCCAUGGCUGGCGCCGUCCUCAUCUACGUGGUCAUCCACAUAGUCUUCUUCACGCUCGACCCUGAAGACAUGGACACGGAUGUGCUGGACAAGUGUCGCGAGGUGCUGCUACUCCUCGCGAUCUUGGCCGCCAGCAUCACCUACCAAGCCGGGCUGACCCCGCCGGGCGGCUUCUGGGAGAUGGACGACGAGAAGCACGGGCACCACGCCGGCUUCUCCAUCCUCCAGGACAAGUACCAUCUCCGUUACAAGGCCUUCUUUUACUGCAACGCGGCGAGCUUCAUGGCGUCUGUGGCUCUCAUCAUCCUCCUCGUUAAUCCCACCCUGUACAAGCCGGCCAUAGAGUGCUAUGCCCUCUUUGUGUGCAUGGUGGGGGGCAUGUUUGGCCUCAUGGGUGCCUACGCUGCCGGGAGCUCCCUGCACCUCCGAGCCUCCAUCAUCAUCUUGGUAUUGGUUGCUCUGGUGUUUGGUUUUGUAGUGUAUCUGGUACUGACGGGCUCCCACAAGCUGAAGCGAAAGGAACCUGCUGGACAAGGAGAGCCGCAGGGAGGUCAUGUGACCGACGAUGCGGCCAAGGACCAAAAUCAACCUGGACAAGGAGUGCAAGGACAUCAUGUGGCCGACAAUGCGGCCAAGGACCAAAUACAACCUGCACAAGGAGUGCAGGGAGAUCAUGUGGCCGACCAUGCGGCCAUGCACCAAAAGCAACCUGCAGAAGGAAAUCAUGUGGCUGACAACAACAAGGCCAUAUACCUGAUGCUGCUAGGGAUACUGUCUGCCAGCGUGACCUACCUGACCGGCCUAAAACCGCCCGGCGGCCUGUGGAGGGACGACAACAAUGGGCAUUCCGCUGGCAGCCCGGUCCUGUACGACAUGCACAGGCGGCGGUACAUGGUCUACUUCUACAGCAACUCCAUCUCGUUCAUGGCUUCCAUCAUCGUCGUCAUCGCCUUGCUGCUGCUCCUGCGGCUUCUGGGUAAGAAGAGCGAUCAUUGGUCGUUGCACACGGUGAUGGUACUGGACAUGCUCGCCCUCCUGGUAGCCUACGCCGCAGGCAGUGCCCGGAAGUGGGGCACAUUUUGGAAGGUCAUCCUGCUGCUCCUCCCCAUAGUGAUCUUCCUACGGCUUCUAUUCUGGUGCAAGAAUAAAUACCAUAGCACCGCAAAACCAAAACCAGGAGUCAUUGCUGCUCCAAAUCUAGAAGCCACUGCAACUCAGUUCGUCCUGAAUUUUUCCACCGAGCAGGACCGGCGGUUCAUUUUGAAGGCCCAGCCAUGGCACCAUAAGCGUGAUGGAGUCAUCUUCGCCGAGUUCGACGGCAAGGGAAACCCAACAGAGGUUGACCUUGGCGUAAUGCCAAUAUGGGUGCAGGUUCGUGAUCUAGAUUUUGAACUCAAAACUGAGAGCAUGGGCUGGACAUUAGGAGAACAACUUGGGGAUAAUCUUAGUGUAGAGGCAUAUUGGAAGGGAACAUGGGCGAGUAAAAGAACACAUUUGUUCGCCGGCUCCAACAGCAACAACUACUACAGAGCUGCAGAAAAGAGUGUGGUCAAGGUGACCAAAGCCGUGGCUGACCUCACGGUCACGGAUAUGCUCACUACGACAUCUACGACGCCAGCCGCUGCGGCGUUUCGUGGGCGGGUGUCCCGCUCGGCCAAGAGGGUCGGGUGUAUGGGGCUCCAACGUCGUCCCACGCAGGCGCUGGCUCCGGUCAGGAGGACCAGCCAACACUUCCGAGACCCUCUGCUCUCUCUGGCCAGGAGGGCCAGGGAAAGGAGGGGGGGCUCUUUCUUUGGUGCUAAGCACGGCCAGGAGGGCCAUGUGCUCGAGCGCCGCAUGGGGACGACUAUAUCGCGGGCUCUGGUGCAUGCUGAUGGCCGCAUGUUCGACGCGGCAAUCCAGGGGAGCCAGGGGCUUAUCCUGCCGGUUGCUGUUUCUAAUUCUGAUGAUGCGGCUGGCGCAAAUAAUCUGCAGGACAUGUUGUUGUUUAAGCCCGGCAUACUGGAGGCACUCUCAGGUGCAGUUGCGGCAAGGCUGGCUGACCAGAACACGACUAAUGAUACUGGAGUAUUUACUUUUGCUGCUGCGAAGGAAAAAGAGAAGGAGGAGGUUUACACACAACAAAGCAGGGAGUCCAUUGGAGAGGACAGAGUUGCGGGCACUGAUUUGGCGGCCUCCGGUCCGGAGGACCGCCAGGAGAAAUGA